CCGGUCCUGGGAGCGGGAGCGUCCUGGCGUCUGGCGUCAAAGACAGUUUCCGUGCUGUAACACCAUCACAAUCUAACCAAGUGAGUAAUGAGGAUGAUGUCAUCAAAGUUUUUAUAAGGGUCAGUCCCCCUGCAGAGGGGCCCAUACUAAAGGAUGGAGAACAUCCUGGCCUGUGCUUAUCUCAGUGCUCACCUCCAGUACCCUCUGUCUGCAUUCUAAGAGCGAGCCUAAGAUCUUCACAUUUGAUCAUGUGGCAGAUAUGGCCGCCACUCAGGUAAGUAUGAUUUUUGUAUCUGGAAAAGGAG
rnacentral:lncRNA from 1 species